rnacentral:rRNA from 1 species
AUUGAACGCUGGCGGCAGGCUUAACACAUGCAAGUCGAGCGGGGAAAGGUAGCUUGCUACCUGACCUAGCGGCGGACGGGUGAGUAAUGCUUAGGAAUCUGCCUAUUAGUGGGGGACAACAUUCCGAAAGGAAUGCUAAUACCGCAUACGCACUACGGGGGAAAGCAGGGGGUCUUCGGACCUUGCGCUAAUAGAUGAGCCUAAGUCAGAUUAGCUAGUUGGUGGGGUAAGGGCCUACCAAGGCGACGAUCUGUAGCGGGUCUGAGAGGAUGAUCCGCCACACUGGGACUGAGACACGGCCCAGACUCCUACGGGAGGCAGCAGUGGGGAAUAUUGGACAAUGGGCGAAAGCCUGAUCCAGCCAUGCCGCGUGUGUGAAGAAGGCCUUUUGGUUGUAAAGCACUUUAAGCGAGGAGGAGGCUACUUGGAUUAAUACUCUAGGAUAGUGGACGUUACUCGCAGAAUAAGCACCGGCUAACUCUGUGCCAGCCGCCGCAGUAAAAC